AGGGAAGCUGUCUGGAGGCAGUGUGGCACCUGAAGAUGCUGGAGCUGCUGCUGUCAGGGAUGCACGCCCUGCCCAUUCAUCUGCCUUCUGCGCCGGGAGCCCCCGCAGAUGCGGAAGAUGCAGGGAAUGAUUCAGCCCCAGCCUUAAGAAAAAGAGGCACCGAAGAAGAUGAGUAAAGAGAAGCAGGGUUUCCUUUUUCCUCCCAAAUGAAUGAUUGAAAGAAGUAAGUUUCCCUUCAAUUUACAUUUCAGUUUGGGCCUUUAAAAG
rnacentral:lncRNA from 1 species